GAUGAAGAACGUAGCGAAAUGCGAUAAGUAGUGUGAAUUGCAGAAUUCAGUGAAUCAUCGAAUCUUUGAACGCACAUUGCGGCCAUAGGUAUUCCUUUGGCCAUGCCUGUUCGAGCGUCAUUUACACCCUCAAGCCUAGCUUGGUGUUGGGCGUCUGUCCCGCCGUUUUCGCGCGCGGACUCGCCUCAAAGUCAUUGGCGGCGGUCGUGCCGGCCCCCUCGCGCAGCACAUUUGCGCUUCUCGGAGGCCCGGCGGAUCCGCGCUCCAGCAAGACCUUUCACGACUUGACCUCGGAUCAGGUAGGGAUACCCGCUGAACUUAAGCAUAUUCAAUAAGCGGAGGA
rnacentral:misc_RNA from 1 species